AUUGAACGCUGGCGGCAGGCCUAACACAUGCAAGUCGAACGAGUGGCGGACGGGUGAGUAAUGUCUGGGAAACUGCCUGAUGGAGGGGGAUAACUACUGGAAACGGUAGCUAAUACCGCAUACCAUCGGAUGUGCCCAGAUGGGAUUAGCUAGUAGGUGGGGUAAAGGCUCACCUAGGCGACGAUCCCUAGCUGGUCUGAGAGGAUGACCAGCUACAGUGGAACUGAGAAACGGUCCAGACUACGACGGGAGGCAGGAGUGGGGAAUAUUGCACAAUGGGCGCAAGCGUGAGACAGCCAUGGCGCGUGUAUGAAGACGGCCUUCGGGUUGUAAAGUACUUUCAGCGGGGAGGCGUUACCCGCAGAAGAAGCACCGGCUAACUCCGUGCCAGCAGCCGCGGUAAUAC
rnacentral:rRNA from 1 species